UUAAGUUAAUAAGGGCGCACGGUGGAUGCCUUGGCACUAGGAGCCGACGAAGGACGUGACAAACGACGAUAUACCUUGGGUAGCUGUAAGUAAGCGAUGAUCCAGGGAUUUCCGAAUGGGGGAACCCAACAGGUAAUACCUGUUACCCACAUCUGUUAAGGAUGUGAGGAGGAAGACGCAGUGAACUGAAACAUCUAAGUAGCUGCAGGAAGAGAAAGCAAAAGCGAUUGCCUUAGUAGCGGCGAGCGAAACGGCAGAAGGGCAAACCGAAGAGUUUACUCUUCGGGGUUGUAGGACUGCAAUGUGGACUCAAAGAUUAUAGAAGAAUGAUUUGGGAAGAUCAGCCAAAGAGAGUAAUAGCCUCGUAUUUAAAAUAGUCUUUGUACCUAGCAGUAUCCUGAGUACGGCGGGACACGUGAAAUCCCGUCGGAAUCUGGGAGGACCAUCUCCCAACCCUAAAUACUCCCUAGUGACCGAUAGUGAACCAGUACCGUGAGGGAAAGGUGAAAAGCACCCCGGGAGGGGAGUGAAAUAGAACCUGAAACCGUGUGCCUACAACAAGUUCGAGCCCGUUAAUGGGUGAGAGCGUGCCUUUUGUAGAAUGAACCGGCGAGUUACGUUAUGAUGCGAGGUUAAGUUGAAGAGACGGAGCCGUAGGGAAACCGAGUCUGAACAGGGCGAAUUAGUAUCAUGACGUAGACCCGAAACCAUGUGACCUACCCAUGAGCAGGUUGAAGGUGCGGUAAGACGCACUGGAGGACCGAACCAGGGCACGUUGAAAAGUGCUUGGAUGACUUGUGGGUAGCGGAGAAAUUCCAAACGAACUUGGAGAUAGCUGGUUCUCUCCGAAAUAGCUUUAGGGCUAGCGUCGACAUUAGAGAUUCUUGGAGGUAGAGCACUGUUUGGGUGAGGGGUCCAUCCCGGAUUACCAAUCUCAGAUAAACUCCGAAUGCCAAUGAAUUAUGGUCGGCAGUCAGACUGCGAGUGCUAAGAUCCGUAGUCGAAAGGGAAACAGCCCAGACCACCAGCUAAGGUCCCAAAAUAAUUGUUAAGUGGAAAAGGAUGUGGGGUUGCACAGACAACUAGGAUGUUAGCUUAGAAGCAGCUAUUCAUUCAAAGAGUGCGUAAUAGCUCACUAGUCGAGUGACCCUGCGCCGAAAAUGUACCGGGGCUAAAACAAUUUACCGAAGCUGUGGAUACCUUUAUAGGUAUGGUAGGAGAGCGUUCUAUGUGUGAUGAAGGUAUACCGUGAGGAGUGCUGGAACGCAUAGAAGUGAGAAUGCCGGUAUGAGUAGCGAAAGACAGGUGAGAAUCCUGUCCACCGUAAGACUAAGGUUUCCAGGGGAAGGCUCGUCCGCCCUGGGUUAGUCGGGACCUAAGGAGAGACCGAAAGGUGUAUCCGAUGGACAACAGGUUGAUAUUCCUGUACUAGAGUAUGUAGUGAUGGAGGGACGCAGUAGGCUAACUAAAGCAGACGAUUGGAAGAGUCUGUCUAAGCAGUGAGGUGUGAAUUGAGUCAAAUGCUUAAUUCUAUAACAUUGAGCUGUGAUGGGGAGCGAAGUUUAGUAGCGAAGUUAGUGACGUCACACUGCCAAGAAAAGCUUCUAGCGUUUAAACAUACUCUACCCGUACCGCAAACCGACACAGGUAGUCGAGGCGAGUAGCCUCAGGUGAGCGAGAGAACUCUCGUUAAGGAACUCGGCAAAAUGACCCCGUAACUUCGGGAGAAGGGGUGCUGACUUUAGGUCAGCCGCAGUGAAUAGGCCCAAGCAACUGUUUAUCAAAAACACAGCUCUCUGCUAAAUCGUAAGAUGAUGUAUAGGGGGUGACGCCUGCCCGGUGCUGGAAGGUUAAGAGGAGUGCUUAGCGUAAGCGAAGGUAUGAAUUGAAGCCCCAGUAAACGGCGGCCGUAACUAUAACGGUCCUAAGGUAGCGAAAUUCCUUGUCGGGUAAGUUCCGACCCGCACGAAAGGCGUAAUGAUUUGGGCACUGUCUCAACGAGAGACUCGGUGAAAUUUUAGUACCUGUGAAGAUGCAGGUUACCCGCGACAGGACGGAAAGA
rnacentral:rRNA from 1 species